rnacentral:lncRNA from 1 species
CCCAACUUAGCUCUCACUGCUCUCUAACUAGACCAUGGGAAGGCAAAGAAAUUCAGUCCGGCGCCUCUCCGGAGCAGGAUAGCGAGGGGAGCGGGCAGAUGCGGCCGCCAGGAGCUCAGCAUCCCCGGAGCUCUGCCUGCCCCCGCAGACCCCUGCACAACCCCUCUCCCCCUUCCCUGGGCUGCCAGGGCGGACGGGAGCUGGCAGGAAAAGCUGCCACAGUGCGCUAGAUGGGAUUCCUCUCGGGGAAGAGGAGGGACGGGAAAAGGAGAAACCCGCGCGCACUUUCCCUUCCAAUGAUCCCAAUCUCGCCGCGCACUGGAAAAGCCUCUUCUCCCCCCAGACCCCGCCAGGCAAGACCGGGUACGGUAAUUUGGGCUCUCCGCAGGGCACUGGGGAAGCACUCUGCGGGCGGCCCCGCUCAGCCCCCGCGCUUCCCUGCGCUGCCCCGGAGGCUGCGGGAGCCGCGGUGCCCCCGCCUCCGCUCCGCGCUCCGGAGGAUGGAUGUUCCGGGGAUGGAUGCUCCGGGGAUGGAUGCGCCGGGGGAUGCGGCGGAGCGGGCGUUUGGCGCAUCGCUGCCCGGAGGGGAUGGGAUGGGACAGGGUGGGCUGGGCUGGGGGUCACUCACCUCGCUGCAAGGUGACCCGCGGCGCGGUGCUCCCGCAGGGGCGGCUCAGCGCCCCGGCGCUCCGCCCGGCAGCAUCCCCGCGGCGGGGGCGGCGGCGGGCACCGGGCCCGGGGGAUGCACAGCGCCCGCCGAGAAGGGGCUGCGCCGCCUGCACCGCCUCGGCGGCACUGUGCGCUCGGCAGGAGGAGGAGAAAAAGGAGGAGGGACGGAGGGAGAGGGAGAGAGAGGCAGGCGGAGGGAGAGAGGCAGGAGGAGAAGGAGCCCUGCGCGGCAGCGCGGCCAACUUUCCUUCUGCAGCGCAGCAGGAACAGCCUCCCGUCCCUCGGUGUGUAACCCCCGCCCCGGCGCAAUGCCGAGCGCACUGGGCUGCAUCCCACGGCAUCGAGGGGUGUUCCCCGCUCUCCUAACAAUCCUGCGCGACAGGGGUAAGCCAUGCUCAUCCCUCAUCCACUCCUCUUUCCAUCCCCAGCAGGCCUGCUAG